GAUGAACGCUGGCGGCAUGCCUAAGACAUGCAAGUCGAACGAGAUGGUCCAGUGAAGGUUGAGUGCUUGCACAAAACUGAAUCUGGUUCGCCAUCUAGUGGCAGACGGGUGAGUAACACGUGGGUGACCUGCCUUUUCGUUGGGGAUAACAGUUGGAAACGAUUGCUAAUACCGAAUAAGAUAUAAGAGUCAAUCUUAUAUCGAAAGGAGCCUUUAAAAGCUUUGCGAUUAGAUGGGCCUGCGGCGUAUUAACUAGUUGGUGGGGUAAAUGGCCUACCAAGGUAACGAUGCGUAGCCGAACUGAGAGGUUGAAACGGCCACACUGGGACUGAGACACGGCCCAGACUCUACGGGAGACAGCAGUUAGGAAUAUUCGUCAAUGGGGGAAACCCUGAACGAGCAAUGCGCGUGAGUGAU
rnacentral:rRNA from 1 species